UACGGAGGGGGCGAGCGUUAUUCGGAAUUAUUGGGCGUAAAGGGCGCGUAGGCGGCCGGAUAAGUCAAAGGUGAAAUCCCUCGGCUCAACUGAGGAACUGCCUUUGAAACUGUUUGGCUCGAGUCCGGGAGGGGGUAGCGGAAUUCCCAGUGUAGCGGUGAAAUGCGUAGAUAUCGUAAGGAAGACCAGUGGCGAAGGCGGGUCUCUGGACAGUUCCUGACGCUGAGGCACGAAGGCCAGGGGAGCAAACGGG
rnacentral:rRNA from 1 species